UUUAGUGUCAAUAAGAACGACAAAGGCACCUGACCAAGCGUCCAUAUUUUACGAGAUGAGUGUGAGAACCUUUUGCGUAUAACCCCUCGCCACCCAGCGAGGGAAGACUUUAUCUGGAGGGGGCGUCAGGACCCAAAGCCUGGAAGGGGGGGAAGGAUGUUUGGGAUCCGGCUCGAAGGACCAAGUUGUUGAGAUAGUUAUUAAGAAUAGACAGAAUCACUGAAGUUCUUCUCAAAGUUUAAAUCGAAAAAAUGGACUGGAAUGUGAAGCAGGAUCGGCAAUUUCCCGUCAGUUUGUGGACCGCUGUUUCGAAGCCUUGAGUGUGUCGAUACGACCGUCGCCGUCUUGGUUUGUUGACGAGAGGGUGGAGCUGGGGAGCCUCUUCGCGGCAGGAAUAAGAGCUUUGAGACAGCCUUCAGGAAAGAAGGCCAGAACAACUUCCUGUUCAAGCGAGGAGAUAUCAGAUAAGAGACUUGGGGAGCAGCCAGGGUAACGUUAGUUUAGCGGUAGCCUGCAGCGGCUCAUUU